UACAGAGGUCUCAAGCGUUGUUCUGAUUCAUUGGGCGUAAAGGGUGCGUAGGCGGCGCGGUAAGUCGGGUGUGAAAUCUCGGGGCUUAACUCCGAAACUGCAUUCGAUACUGCCGUGCUUGAGGACUGGAGAGGAGACUGGAAUUUACGGUGUAGCGGUGAAAUGCGUAGAUAUCGUAAGGAAGACCAGUGGCGAAGGCGGGUCUCUGGACAGUUCCUGACGCUGAGGCACGAAGGUCAGGGGAGCAAACGGG
rnacentral:rRNA from 1 species